CCCAACCAGAAUGGCACCGAACGGCUGUCGGCACGGCUCGGCACUGCUGCCGGCAGCAGGAGCGAUUCAGGCUGCACUUCCUCAGCGGUGAUAAACCGAGAAAGGCUGGAGCACCUUAAGGAGGAGACUGUCUUCUCUGCUUUCCAGCCUCAAGGAUUUCCUACCAGUGCUGCUUCUGGCAGAAUCAGAGAUCUGCCUUUCAAAAAUGCUUCUCUGGAAGGGAAGGCAGCAAUAAGUAAACAAUCCCUACUCAGGCAGUAACUACAGGGAGAGGAGAAGAUAUGGUCAGUGUGUGUUUCCCAGUGAUUUCCCCAUCAGAGUUUUUCUAAGCACCGGAGGGAUCUGCAGGUUCACGGUGGGAUCUGACACGCGAUCUGGGCUGGCUCUGAACUGUGCAGCCUCCUCAGAGAACAGGAGUUUCCUCAUCACUGCACAUCAGCAACCUGCUGCCUUUGCUCUGGCCAAGUAAAACCAAGAGAAAAUCCAGCCCCUGCUCCUGCCUGUUCUGGUACUGCGGGGGUAGCAAGGGCGAAGGAGGUAGUGAGGCAACAUUUUUGUCACCAGCACAAGCAGGCAAAUCUCCAAGCGCCCACAGAGAGGCUCUGGAAAACACCCCACAGCCCUUCUCAGAACGGGUUUAAACUGAACAGAACCCAGUAACGAACUGGUUGUCUUUAUAAAUACUGCUGGAAGAGUUACACACAAGGCCAGGAACAAACAGCUGAAAACCAGCUCCAUGUACACCUGAUCCUGUCAACAGCUUCCAGCAAAAGACCAAUGGACCAGCGCUUCCCGUGGCCUUCAGCAGGAUUGGGGUCCAACUAGCGUUCGUUAUGCUCCUCCGGGCCUCAGGCGUGCUGUACAAUGGGGCUGCGUCUCAUUAGUGAGCACAGCUGGGUGAUGGGACAGUGCUGUCCCACAGCGUGGUGCAAUAAAUGAAAAGCACUGAGAAGAACAGAGCUGCCUCUUGGUGCAGUAAAUGAACUAAACCUGCAAGGAUUUAAUAAAUAUGUUGCUGUUCUGUUGCA